rnacentral:rRNA from 1 species
CGUAGGGGGCGAGCGUUGUCCGGAUUCAUUGGGCGUAAAGAGCUCGUAGGCGGCUUGGCAAGUCGGAUGUGAAAACUCCAGGCUCAACCUGGAGCCGCCAUUCGAUACUGCUAUGGCUAGAGUCCGGUAGGGGAGUGUGGAAUUCCCGGUGUAGCGGUGAAAUGCGCAGAUAUCGGGAGGAACACCGAUGGCGAAGGCAGCGCUCUGGGCCGGUACUGACGCUGAGGAGCGAAAGCGUGGGGAGCGAACAGGAUUAGAUACCCUGGUAGUCCACGCCGUAAACGUUGGGCACUAGGUGUGGGGCCUUAUCAACGGGUUCCGUGCCGCAGCUAACGCAAUAAGUGCCCCGCCUGGGGAGUACGGCCGCAAGGCUA